AGACUGCUGCUGUUAUCCUAGGGUCCUCCCUCAUGCCUGGCUGGGGUCAGCGCCCCUGGACAUGUGACAGAGAUGGACGCCCUCAGCUCUAUGCCUGUGACAUCUGCCCACCUGCUGUGUGUGACAGACUGCACCAGACUUCAUGUAUGCCUCCUGCAGUGAGCGUAAAUGCAGGUUUCCUAUUUCCUGCUUUGGUCCUCUACAGCUAAGGUGUGUGGACACUUCCCCGCGUGCUGUCUCCAGCCAGCUGACUGCCCUGGAAGAGGAGACGCAGGUUCCCGCUGCCCUGGAAUCAGGUUGCUCUGGACCUUCUGUGAACAGUACGUCUGCUUAUGUGUGUGCCCGGCGCUCCCUGCACCCCUGAAGUGAUCCCUCCUGCAAGGGGAAUUUGGUAAGCUCUGACCUGGCCAGGAGGCAUGAGGAAAACACAGAG
rnacentral:lncRNA from 1 species